rnacentral:rRNA from 1 species
CCUACGGGUGGCAGCAGUGGGGAAUAUUGCACAAUGGGGGAAACCCUGAUGCAGCGACGCCGCGUGAGUGAAGAAGUAUUUCGGUAUGUAAAGCUCUAUCAGCAGGGAAGAAGAAAGACGGUACCUGACUAAGAAGCCCCGGCUAACUACGUGCCAGCAGCCGCGGCAAUACGUAGGGGGCAAGCGUUAUCCGGAUUUACUGGGUGUAAAGGGAGCGUAGACGGCUGUGCAAGUCUGAAGUGAAAGCCCAGGGCUCAACCCUGGGACUGCUUUGGAAACUGUGGAGCUAGAGUGCUGGAGAGGUAAGUGGAAUUCCUGGUGUAGCGGUGAAAUGCGUAGAUAUUAGGAGGAACACCAGUGGCGAAGGCGGCUUACUGGACAGUAACUGACGUUGAGGCUCGAAAGCGUGGGGAGCGAACAGGAUUAGAUACCCCAGUAGUC